UAGUCAUAUGCUUGUCUCAAAGACUAAGCCAUGCAUGUCUAAGUAUAAACACCUUUAUACUGCGAAACUGCGAACGGCUCAUUAUAUCAGUUAUAAUCUACUUGAUCGUAUCCUCUUACUUGGAUAACCGUAGUAAUUCUAGAGCUAAUACAUGCAAAAGAUCCCGACUGGUGACGGAAGGGAUGUAUUUAUUAGGUACAAAAUCAAUACUGGAGCAAUCCAGGCUGUUUGAUGAUUCAUAAUAACUAAACGAAGCGCAGGCCUCGUGUCGGCGCUG
rnacentral:rRNA from 1 species